UACAGAGGUCCCAAGCGUUGUUCGGAUUCAUUGGGCGUAAAGGGUGCGUAGGCGGCGCGGUAAGUCGGGUGUGAAAUCUCGGGGCUUAACUCCGAAACUGCAUUCGAUACUGCCGUGCUUGAGGACUGGAGAGGAGACUGGAAUUUACGGUGUAGCGGUGAAAUGCGCAGAUAUCAGGAGGAACACCGAUGGCGAAGGCAGCUCACUGGGACGGUACUGACGCUGAGACGCGAAAGCGUGGGGAGCAAACAGG
rnacentral:rRNA from 1 species